UGGGGAAUCUUCCGCAAUGGACGAAAGUCUGACGGAGCAACGCCGCGUGAGUGAAGAAGGUUUUCGGAUCGUAAAACUCUGUCUUUUGGGGCGAACGUGAGUAUGGUGAACAAUCAUAGUCAGUGACGGUACCAAAGGAGGAAGCCACGGCUAACUACGUGCCAGCAGCCGCGGUAAUACGUAGGUGGCAAGCGUUGUCCGGAAUUAUUGGGCGUAAAGAGCGCGUAGGCGGGAUAGUCAGUCUGUUGUAAAGUGCGGGGCUCAACCCCGUGAUGGCAAUGGAAACAGCUAUUCUUGAGUGCAGGAGAGGAAAGUGGAAUUCCCAGUGUAGCGGUGAAAUGCGUAGAUAUUGGGAGGAACACCAGUGGCGAAGGCGACUUUCUGGACUGUGUCUGACGCUGAGGCGCGAAAGCCAGGGGAGCGAACGGGAUUAGAUACCCCGGUAGUCCUGGGCCGUAAAACGAUGGGUACUAGGUGUGGGAGGUAUCGACCCCUUCCGUGCCGGAGUUAACGCAAUAAGUACCCCGCCUGGGGAGUACGGUCGCAAGACUGAAACUCAAAUGAAUUGACGGGGGUCAUAGCUGUUUCCUG
rnacentral:rRNA from 1 species